ACAUAGUAAGAAUGAUUUAGAGAUAGAUUAGUGUCUGCUUGCAGAAACUUGCAUACAGGUGCUGCACGGCUGUCGUCAGCUCGUGUCGUGAGAUGUUGGGUUAAGUCCCGCAACGAGCGCAACCCUCGUCCUUAGUUGCUAACAGUUCGGCUGAGAACUCUAAGGAGACUGCCUACGCAAGUAGGAGGAAGGUGAGGAUGACGUCAAGUCAUCAUGGCCCUUACGUCCAGGGCUACACACGUGCUACAAUGGGGUAUACAAAGAGCAGCAAUACGGUGACGUGGAGCAAAUCUCAAAAAUGCCUCCCAGUUCGGAUUGUAGUCUGCAACUCGACUAC
rnacentral:rRNA from 1 species